GUCAGAAUAGUUUAACGGGCAAAAACAUAUAUCUCAUAUGUAUAUAAAGUAAGUUCAAGUCUUACUUCUGACU
rnacentral:tRNA from 1 species